rnacentral:rRNA from 1 species
GAGUUGUUGGGUUAAGUCCCGCAACGAGCGCAACCCUUAAGUUUAGUUGCCAUCAUUAAGUUGGGCACUCUAGACUGACUGCCGGUGACAAACCGGAGGAAGGUGGGGACGACGUCAAAUCGUCAUGCCCCUUAUGAUUUGGGCUACACACGUGCUACAAUGGACAGGUUACAAAGGGCAGCAACGCCGCGAGGCCAAGCGAAUCCCAUAAAACUGUUCUCAGUUCGGAUUGGAGUCUGCAACUCGACUCCAUGAAGCUGGAAUCGCUAGUAAUCGUAGAUCAGCAUGCUACGGUGAAUACGUUCCCGGGUCUUGUACACACCGCCCGUCACACCACGGAAGUCGAUAACACCUGAAGCCGGUGGGCCAACCAUUUAUGGAGGCAGCCGUCGAAGGUGGGAUGGAUGACUGGGGUG